CAAACAACCCGCAAAGAAACACAAAGCAAACAAGCACCAGCAAGCGCAGACUCACCAGCACCGCUACGCCACCACAGCGCGAGCAAGGCACAGCGCGCAAGACCCAACACGCACCACAGCCCCGCACACCACAAACUAAACACACGCACAGCAAACCACACGUACAAGGAAACAGGGAGAGAGACGGGAGAGAACACCGAAAGAGAUCUCAACAAAGCAGGCAAAAGAUCACUGCGGGAAGAGAUACAAACACACCACGAGACGAGACGAGACCAACAGACGGACACACAACAAGACACAACACGAACGACCACACAGCACAACCACACACGCAGACCCANCCCACCACACACGAGCAAGCACAACAGCGAUAGAGACAACAUGAAGCGCACCAGCAGCC
rnacentral:rRNA from 1 species